rnacentral:rRNA from 1 species
UACAGAGGUCCCAAGCGUUGUUCGGAUUCAUUGGGCGUAAAGGGUGCGUAGGCGGCGGGGCAAGUCUGAUGUGAAAUCCUGGGGCUCAACCCUGGAACUGCAUUGGAUACUGCCUUGCUAGAGUACUGGAGAGGAAACUGGAAUUUACGGUGUAGCAGUGAAAUGCGUAGAGAUCGUAAGGAAGACCAGUGGCGAAGGCGGCAUCCUGGACCGGCAUUGACGCUGAGGCGCGAAAGCCAGGGGAGCAAACGGG